rnacentral:rRNA from 1 species
ACCCGCUGAACUUAAGCAUAUCAAUAAGCGGAGGAAAAGAAACCAACAGGGAUUGCCCUAGUAACGGCGAGUGAAGCGGCAACAGCUCAAAUUUGAAAUCUGGCGCAAGCCCGAGUUGUAAUUUGUAGAGGAUGCUUCUGGGCAGCGGCCGGUCUAAGUUUCUUGGAACAGGACGUCACAGAGGGUGAGAAUCCCGUAUGUGAUCGGUUGGCACCCGCUACGUAGCUCCUUCGACGAGUCGAGUUGUUUGGGAAUGCAGCUCUAAAUGGGAGGUAAAUGCCUUCUAAAGCUAAAUACCGGCCAGAGACCGAUAGCGCACAAGUAGAGUGAUCGAAAGAUGAAAAGCACUUUGGAAAGAGAGUUAAAAAGCACGUGAAAUUGUUGAAAGGGAAGCGCAUGCAACCAGACUUGUCCGCGGUGUUCCGCCGGUCUUCUGACCGGUCUACUCGCCGCGGGCAGGCCAGCAUCAUCUGGGAGCGCCGGAUAAAGGUAGCGGGAAUGUGGCCCCUCGGGGUGUUAUAGCUCGCUACACAAUACGGCGCCUCCCGGGUGAGGUCCGCGCUUCGGCUAGGAUGCUGGCGUAAUGGUUGUAUGCGGCCCGUCUUGAAACACGGACCAAGGAGUCUACCAUCUAUGCGAGUGUUCGGGUGUCAAACCCCUACGCGCAAUGAAAGUGAACGGAGGUGGGAACCGCAAGGUGCACCAUCGACCGAUCCUGAUGUCUUCGGAUGGAUUUGAGUAAGAGCAUAGCUGGUGGGACCCGAAAGAUGGUGAACUAUGCCUGAAUAGGGUGAAGCCAGAGGAAACUCUGGUGGAGGCUCGCAGCGGUUCUGACGUGCAAAUCGAUCGUCAAAUUUGGGUAUAGGGGCGAAAGACUAAUCGAACCAUCUAGUAGCUGGUUCCUGCCGAAGUUUCCCUCAGG